CUGCACUUCAUCGCCGAGCUUGGUAACGUAAGCUUGUAACCCAAGUGGGGGGCUUUGAGGUGGUGGAACAUUGGUUUAAUCUCCAGAGUCGGGCUCAUGUUGGCUUUUCACUGGCUAGCCCGUUCCAAGCCGAGAGUUGAGCCAUGGGUCUCUGGCGAAGGCUGGAGGUUUAUGGUUAUUAGAGUGGAGGAUAUCGCGUGAGGCUGGCUUCACAGAGCAGCGUCUACCUCCCGCUCCUGGCAGUGGAAGGAUAACUGGCUGGUGCCACCUGGGCUCGCCAUGGCUCAAGGGAUUGAUCCAAUUGGACCACCAUCUUUUUAAAAUUUAUAACAUUUUUUCAUAUUUAUUUGGGUUUUAGUAUUUGUUGCUUCAAUAGGGGUCCCACAUGGCCUUUUGGCAGCAUACAUGUCAUGCUAAUGGGUGGAGUGGCAAUUUCUCGGCUUGGGUUAUGGAUGUUUGAUUUAUCUGUCAUUCAACAAUUGCAGAUCUUGUCCCUGAGUCUGAACGUUGUGUAGUCGGAGGAGUCCAGAACUCCCUUCACUCUACUCUGGAUUUUAUGGCUUAUAUUACGGGAAUUGUUAUCUCCAAUCCACAGGAUCUUGUCCCUGAGUCUGAACGUUGUGUAGUCGGAGGAGUCCAGAACUCCCUUCACUCUACUCUGGAUUUUAUGGCUUAUAUUAUGGGAAUUGUUAUCUCCAAUCCACAGGAUCUUGUUCCUGAGCCUGAACGUUGUGUAGUCGGAGGAGUCUAGAGCUCCCUUCAGUCUACUCUGGAUUUUAUGGCUUAUAUUAUGGGAAUUGUUAUCUCCAAUCCACAGGUAAUCCUUUCUUGCUUUCUUUCUAAUACUUCAAAUGUUUAUGAUUUAUGAGUCAAUGUGUUAGGGGUGGGUGGAUUCAAAUCUGACUAAGUCAGAAUAGUGGUCAGCUUGAAUUUAGAAAAUCUAGUUCAAGCGAGGUAAAGCUAACAAUGAGGUUGCUAGAGAAAGCCUUCAGAAAGCAUGGGAGAAGAAGUGUUGUCAAAUAUAAAGAGAAAGAAGAAAAUUGUUAAUGAAGAUGAAUCUUCAAGUGGCUUUCUGAUGAUUCACUAGAUUCGCGUCGGCUAGACUUGAACUCAAGCUGAGGUUACCCUAGCUCAACCCCAGCUGAAGUUCAGCCCAGAUCCACCCCUAAAUGUGUUCUCAUUAAUGCAAUGCCAACUAGCUCCAUCACGUUGCAUUAUGUAUGUUAGCUUCAUGUGUAAAUUCAUCUUUUCUUUAGAAAAUUCUUCAUGCUUAAUAUAUUCAUGAGAUUUGACAAAGCUCUACUGUGAUGUACCUUUUUUGGGGAUUUUUGGAAGUUGAAUUUAAUGUCAUUUCUGGCAG